rnacentral:lncRNA from 1 species
GUAGAACUUGAGCUGAUGUGUCAAAAAAAGAGAAGCUUUUUGUCAUCUAUGCUAUAAUCAAGCUCCUUGGGAUUACUCAUGUUAUAUAUUUUUUAAAAUAUAUAAUAUUGAAAGACCUUAAAGAUAAAUUAUAUGUCUCUUAUUUCUUGCAAAUAGCACUAAAUGCUUGAUUACAAUGACAAUUCUUUAUAUAUUAUAGAAUAGAUAUUAUAGUAGAAGAUUUAGAAUUGAGACAAUUGUGUUUGCUCAACAAAGUAGAUAUUGUGGUAUUAAAGAUUAAAGCUAUUCUAUUUAAAGUAGAUACUAUAGUAUUUAGAAUCAAAGCAUUUUAUAAUGGAUUUUGUCAUGAAAACUUUAGGAUCAAAGGAGAUACAUUUAGUCAACAAAGUAGAUACUAAGGCAUU